rnacentral:rRNA from 1 species
UACGUAGGGCGCAAGCGUUGUCCGGAAUUAUUGGGCGUAAAGAGCUCGUAGGCGGCUUGUCACGUCGGCUGUGAAAUCCCGAGGCUCAACCUCGGGUCUGCAGUCGAUACGGGCAAACUAGAGUAUUGCAGGGGAGACUGGAAUUCCUGGUGUAGCGGUGAAAUGCGCAGAUAUCAGGAGGAACACCGGUGGCGAAGGCGGGUCUCUGGGCAAUAACUGACGCUGAGGAGCGAAAGCGUGGGGAGCGAACAGG